rnacentral:rRNA from 1 species
CACGUAGGCACCAAGCGUUGUCCGGAUUUAUUGGGCGUAAAGAGCUCGUAGGCGGUUCGGUAAGUCGGGUGUGAAAACUCUGGGCUCAACCCAGAGCCGCCACCCGAUACUGCUGUGACUUGAGUUCGGUAGGGGAGCGGGGAAUUCCUGGUGUAGCGGUGAAAUGCGCAGAUAUCAGGAGGAACACCAGUGGCGAAGGCGCCGCUCUGGGCCGAGACUGACGCUGAGGAGCGAAAGCGUGGGUAGCAAACAGGAUUAGAUGCCCUGGUAGUCCACGCCGUAAACGUUGGGCACUAGGUGUGGGUCUCAACCAACGAGAUCCGCGCCGUCGCUAACGCAUUAAGUGCCCCGCCUGGGGAGUACGGCCGCAAGGCUAAA